CCUAUACCCGGCCGUCGGGGCA
rnacentral:sRNA from 1 species